rnacentral:rRNA from 1 species
AUUGAACGCUGGCGGCAUGCUUUACACAUGCAAGUCGAACGGCAGCGCGGGCUUCGGCCUGGCGGCGAGUGGCGAACGGGUGAGUAAUACAUCGGAACGUGCCCAGUAGUGGGGGAUAGCUCGGCGAAAGCCGGAUUAAUACCGCAUACGACCUGAGGGUGAAAGCGGGGGGUCUUCGGACCUCGCGCUAUUGGAGCGGCCGAUGGCGGAUUAGCUAGUUGGUGGGGUAAAGGCCUACCAAGGCGACGAUCUGUAGCUGGUCUGAGAGGACGACCAGCCACACUGGGACUGAGACACGGCCCAGACUCCUACGGGAGGCAGCAGUGGGGAAUUUUGGACAAUGGGCGAAAGCCUGAUCCAGCAAUGCCGCGUGUGUGAUGAAGGCCUUCGGGUUGUAAAGCACUUUUGGCGGGAACGAAAAGGACUGUGCCAAUACCACGGUUCGAUGACGGUACCCGCAGAAUAAGCACCGGCUAACUACGUG